GAUGAACGCUAGCUACAGGCUUAACACAUGCAAGUCGCGGGACCGGCGCACGGGUGAGUAACGCGUAGCCAACCUGCCCUUCACCACGGGAUAACCCGGCGAAAGUCGGACUAAUACCGUAUGGUGAGGGGUGGGGCUGCGUCCGAUUAGCUUGAAGGCGGGGUAACGGCCCACCGGGGCUCCUAUCGGUAGGGGUUCUGGGAGGAAUGUCCCCCACACGGGAACUGAGACACGGUCCAGACUCCUACGGGAGGCAGCAGUGAGGAAUAUUGGUCAAUGGGCGUAAGCCUGAACCAGCCAAGUAGCGUGCAGGACGACGGCCUAUGGGUUGUAAACUGCUUUUAUGCGGGGAUAGGUACCGCAUGAAUAAGGACCGGCUAACUCCGUGCCAGCAGCCGCGGUAAUAC
rnacentral:rRNA from 1 species